UCCAAACUUGGCUGUCUGAAAAAGAAUGUUCUCUGAUUGGCAUUCCUGGAAGCAGAAGGCAAGGCAGCUCAAGUUUUGUUCUGUUGCUCUGCAGGAAAAACUUCCCCAGGUACACAUAAUAUGAACAAAUCUAUGAGUUAGAAGAAGAAUGAGUGAUCCCCUUCUACAGAGUGCUUUGGGUGCUUUGGACCCAGCAGUUCUCUGCCAAGAGACCUUGAGACUGCUUCCAGGUCUGUCUUUUCAAGGUGGACCUGCCUCUGAUUGGGCACUGGAGAAGCCAACCUGGAAAUGCCAACAAGCACAGACAGAAAAAGCUCCAAUAAAAGGGAAAAUAAGAAGGUAUUCGGACUGCUGUAUGAAGAGCGCAUUAGUUUAGAAGUAAGACCAAUGGAGAAGAUGCUGCACUAGUUCAGGGUGAAUCCUUUUACGGCCCAUGCCACCAGCUUCCAAACACGACCAUCACCCCACAUUUGGGGCCCCCCAUCUGAUGGAGAGAGACACCACAGAGAGUAACUUGUACAUUAUUAAAAACUGACGAAUACUUGUUG